GAUGAGCCUAAGUCGGAUUAGCUAGUUGGUGGGGUAAAGGCCUACCAAGGCGACGAUCUGUAGCGGGUCUGAGAGGAUGAUCCGCCACACUGGGACUGAGACACGGCCCAGACUCCUACGGGAGGCAGCAGUGGGGAAUAUUGGACAAUGGGGGGAACCCUGAUCCAGCCAUGCCGCGUGUGUGAAGAAGGCCUUUUGGUUGUAAAGCACUUUAAGCGAGGAGGAGGCUACCUGGAUUAAUACUCUGGGAUAGUGGACGUUACUCGCAGAAUAAGCACCGGCUAACUCUGUGCCAGCAGCCGCGGUAAUACAGAGGGUGCGAGCGUUAAUCGGAUUUACUGGGCGUAAAGCGUGCGUAGGCGGCUGAUUAAGUCGGAUGUGAAAUCCCUGAGCUUAACUUAGGAAUUGCAUUCGAUACUGGUCAGCUAGAGUAUGGGAGAGGAUGGUAGAAUUCCAGGUGUAGCGGUGAAAUGCGUAGAGAUCUGGAGGAAUACCGAUGGCGAAGGCAGCCAUCUGGCCUAAUACUGACGCUGAGGUACGAAAGCAUGGGGAGCAAACAGGAUUAGAUACCCUGGUAGUCCAUGCCGUAAA
rnacentral:rRNA from 1 species